rnacentral:rRNA from 1 species
GAUGAACGCUGGCGGCGUGCCUAAUACAUGCAAGUCGAGCGAACGGACGAGAAGCUUGCUUCUCUGAUGUUAGCGGCGGACGGGUGAGUAACACGUGGAUAACCUACCUAUAAGACUGGUAUAACUUCGGGAAACCGGAGCUAAUACCGGAUGAUAUUUUGAACCGCGUGGUUCAAAAGUGAGAGACGGUCUUGCUGUCACGUAUAGAUGGAUCCGCGCUGCAUUAGCUAGUUGGUAAGGUAACGGCUUACCAAGGCAACGAUGCAUAGACGACCUGAGAGGGUGAUCGGCCACACUAGAACGGGGACACGGUCCAGACUCCUACGGGACGCAGCAGAAGGGAAUCUUCCGCAAUGGGCGAAAGCAUGACGGAGCAACGCCGCGUGAGUGAUGACGGUCUUCGGAUCGUAAAACUCUGUUAUUAGGGAAGAACAUAUGUGUAAGUAACUGUGCACAUCUUGACGGUACCUAGUCAGAAAGCCACGGCUAACUACGUG